CCAAUACUCCAUCAUUUCAAAGCGCGAACAAAACUUCUUCUCUUUCUCUCUCAACAAAUGAUCCCAGCAACUUUCUUCAUCCAACCAAAACCCUAGAUCCCUGCGACUUUCUUCAUUCCAACGACUUCCAUGGGUAAGCUCUUCGCUAUCCAAUCCAAACCCUAGAUCUUUUGGUCAACACAAAUUGGAAUCAGAUUGAUACAUUCAAGUUCAAAGAGAAUGCAAAGCAAGGCUCCACGUAUGUGUCUCCGGCAAGGUUUUCCAAUCCCGAAUUCUGACUCUGUUGGUCUCAAUGUUUGCCACCUUCGCCUCAAUCUACGUCGUCGGACGGUUGUGGCAAGAUUCGGAGAACAAGGUUUAAUUGAUUAAAGAGCUUGAUAGGAUUACUGGGUAGGGAACAACAUAAGAAGUUAUCAGUAGUUAAGAUGGAGUUCGCUGCAGCCAAUCAAGAGGGUUAGAGCGUUCAACGCUGAAAAUGGAACCAGGCCUCUGGUGGUGAUUGGAAUUUUUACAAAAAUUGGUUGUAAGAACAAUAGAGAUGCAAUUCGUAAGGCAUGGAUGGGAAAUGGUAUUGGUACCCUUUUGGCAAACUGUGAUGAUCUCAAAAUAUUUCAAGACCCUGGUAUUGCUUAAGUUGUCAUGUAACUAGAUCAAGGUAUUAAAUUAGUUCUUUCUUCCAUGUGCCAUGAAAAAAUUCAUAUUUCUGUUUUAAAGUUUUGAAUUAAUAUGCUUUAUGAUUGACCAAGGAGGCCAUGAUCUACUGCAAAGUUUUCUCUCAACCCUCCCUCAUCUAGCACAUAUGUAAAGUAUGAUAUAUCAAUCUGCUGAAAAGAUUUCAUUCACAUGCAAGAGAAUCGUCGCCCUGCGCACAUAUAAAGAACCUUGAGAAAAAGUUACUGGAGAUGAUAGGCAUGUGCAUACGUGUGAAGCUUGUAAUUAAGAGAGGACUGAUCUAACUAACUGAUUUAAAGUCUAGGCCCUUCGUUGAAUGACUCUAAGCACCCAAGGGAAUUAUGGAAUGAGUACUGGAUUACCAGCACAAUUGACACUGUAAGUUGGAAUGUAAGUUGUUAUGGUCUACUACUAAUAACAUCUUUGAUUUUGGUUCCGUUUUCUUUGUUGUAAUUAAAAAAUGGAAAGUGCAAAAAAUGACAGGGGAUAGUGAGAGAUGAGACUUUGGCCAUUAGUUACAUAAUUGUCACACAUACACAGAUACAUAGGCUGAAUGCAUAGAGACAGUGAACUAAGAAUCAAUACCGAAAUUUCAAAGAUUGCUUUCAGUUCCUAUUUCUUAAUAGCUCAUGUUUAUUGAAUGUUGUGAGUUCUGACUAAGGGUUUCUAUUGUGUAUCUUAGACUUUAGCUUGUUAUCUGUCUAUUUACUGAACCAGAAUUACUUCAAAGUUAGAGAAAAGGGUUAUUUAUGGGAUGUAUGGUUGAAACUAAAGGCCAAGCUCAAGAGUUGGAAUGGUUGAGGAGUUGAAAAGUGAAUGGUUCUUUCAAUGAAAUCAAAUUUGUUGUUCACAUAUAUUUUCUCCUUGUUUAGAUACCACUUUCCCUAUUUGACAUAGAAACUCUGAAUCUUUAACGAAGCAUGUUUAAUUUUGGCUUGUCAAUUCAAUUAUAGUCAGGUUUUGCAUACAUAAUUAUGGGUUGUGUUUUCAUUCCGCAAUAUAGUGGACAAUAACUUGAGUAUUGUUUAAUUAUGCAUUAUAUACAAACCUGUUCAAGUAUCUAUUAUCCAGAAAUUAUUCUUUCAAAGUUUUCUUAUUAGUUGCAAUUGCCUGCAUAACCCAGUUAGCAGUUUCAAUGGCUGUGAGAAGUAUAACAGACCAUUGUGGACAAUCAUUGCAUUAGAAUAGGCAUUAUGUGGUAAAGUCACAUUGUCAUUAUAGUUUCUUAAUUAAAGUUAUUGCUCCUCAUUUGAUUUCUCUUUAGUAGUUAACUAAUGGUACUAGUUUGUACAGUGUUCAAGAAAUUAGCAUGUUAUCAACCAGUGUGCUGAGUUUCAUGUCGACAAUCAAAAGAAAGCCAAAAAUCAUUGUUUGUGUGUUAAUUCUAGCAGAAUUUGUAUCAUUAUUAUAAAGGGAAAAAACAUUG